AAAAGCUAUGGAGACUCACCGUAGAGACGCGCCAAAAACAACAGGUUUAAACCGGAACCGCGCUGUACGUGACAACAAAGACGACGUCGGUCCCACCUGGACCAAAUGAAUUACUUGUAAUGGCCAUCGACCAACCUUCCGGUAUCCGUACAGUGUAGGGAGAGAGAGGGGCAGAGAGAGAGAGAGAGAGAGAGAGAGAGAGAGAGAGAGAGAGAGUCGCGAGCGGUGGGGUCUGAAGGAAUGAUAACAGAGCGCGUGGGCGGCAGUGAGCAGAGGCGGGAAAUCCGUGAGCGGCGCGUGCAGGUGCCUGGUAUCUGAGGUAAAAAGCUCUGUUGCUAACGGAUUAGCCUUUAACAACAAAACCGAACAUCUUAAAUUCACUCUGAACUAGUGAGGUCUCUGCUCUCAUUCAAGCUACAAGUGGUACUUAAUCAACAAUCAUGUAAAAGAUGGAUGUAGACCGGCUGUGGAUCUGGCGGCUGAAGGCUGUGUUUGGUAACUGCGCACCAGCCCACAGGAAAGAUGUCUCUAGAGUCGUAACGGCACCAGUAAUCGAACGCGCCUCUCCAUCCAUCAAACAUCACAAACACCUCUUCACCUCUGACCUCACCGAUGGUGGCAGGGCAGAUGAGACGCUGGCGCCAUUUCUGCCCCAUUCAGCGUCCUCAGUAAAAACAUGGGCCAUGACGAGGCGUUCAUCCGGAACCCUGUCGAGAAACACAGAUAUGUAGAGUUAAAGAGAUUUUCUAAAUGGCUCCAGGCACCAGCUGAACUCAGAGUGACUUCUGCAUGAACUGCAGUUCAACCUGCACCUGAGGUGGAUUCGAAAUCACUCUGUGUAAUUGUUCCAAAAAAAAAAAAAAAAUACUCAACAUGAAAUGAAAACGCGAGCUGAAGAAAUGUGUGUGUGUGACUGGAAAUGUCCUCACGGGAACAGACAUACUUUUAUGUAUCUUAUAUUUUACCAGUUGUAUUUUAUAUUUUAAUACAUCUUUGUGUCAACUGAAAGUGCUUGAGUUAGAAAAAAAAUACAAAGUAGUUUUGAAAGAGACCACUAAUGGAUAGGAAUCUGCUAAUAGUCAAGGUUUCAGUAUCAGAAAAGUCACUUCAGCAUGCAGGUGCUGUAUAUGGCUUUAAGUGAGCGUUCAUUUGUAUGCUUUAAAGUGUAAAGUAGGAGGUUCUGAGCUGCUGAAUUCUUGCGUUCCCGGUCGCUAUGAACUUUGCGUCAUUAUGAACUUGACUGAUGAAGCUGAGGUUGAGGAACUCGAGUCACAGUACACACACCGUGCUGACAUUUUCACUUCUGGGGUUUUUUUUUAUCCAGGGCUUCAGGAGCAGAAGCAGAUCACGGACAGUUUGGGUUUAAAGGGAAAAACAGAUAGUGAUAUUUGCAGAGCAGCUGAAGCAGAGCGGAUGCUGAUGCUGCAUUUUCUCUUAAAGUUGAUGAUUGAUGAUAUUGUGCUGUUAACUCUACACCGUGUCAGCAUAAUGCCUACAGAAAUAUCAGAAUCAUCGGGUCUGCUCGCUAUUCGGAAAGUGUGUGUGUGUGUGUGUGUUUAAGUGUGUGGAACACCGACAGCCCUAAAGCCUUCUUUAGCUGAUAAGCUAAGAAGCUCCAAUGCGAUUUGUAAAGUGAGUGCUUUUCAAAUUUCCAGCUGCAUCCUUCAGUAGUUCCUUCAGGAGAACCGUACACAGGCUAUCAGAACGGCUUCCAAGGAGAUCCCUAUUAAGAUCCCGUUCCACCAGGAUUAUGGAGCUUUUUCUCAUUGUUGCAGCCAAAAUUGCUUGACUUUUUUUUUUUUCUCCUUCCAAAAACCCUAAACAAACAUCACACAAACUCACAGAAAAGCUCACCAUCUCAAACAAUGAUACAUGCUCUUUGUUAUAUACCAACAUUCAUUCAUUCAUUUUCUACCGCUUAUCCGAACUUCUCGGGUCACGGGGAGCCUGUGCCUAUCUCAGGCGUCAUCGGGCAUCGAGGCAGGAUACACCCUGGACGGA